rnacentral:lncRNA from 1 species
UACAGUUAGCUCUAAACUAAUACAACCUCAUAUAAGCUAACUAAUAUGUAUCUAUUUAUCUGACGCUAAGGAUAAUAGUUGAGCUUACUCAGCCCUCAUGCCAUCUUUUACAUUUCCUACUUCGAGUAUGAAUCAGCAAUGCCACUUCUUUACAGAACUGAUCUUCAGCAAAACUCUUUCUAUCAAAACGAAUAGAACUUCUGGCUCUCCAGAUCAAUGCAACAGUAGUGACAAAAGCAGUAGCAGUGAUUGCUUUCUGCCAGUUCCUGCUUCGAGCCUUACCGCAUAUCCACUUUAGUUCAUUCUCCCAAGUACCAACAAUUCGAUUGUACCCCAUCCAAUAGCAUAUUCUAAGCCAUAAUCGAUUAGUGACUGGGCAUGCAAAAAAUAGAUGCUCAAACCUUUCUUCCUGCAGUUUGCAGAAUGCACAUUCAAGAGGUAUAUCAACUCCAAACUUCUGCAGUCUGUCAACAGUAGGAAGCCUGUAUUGAGCAGCUAACCAUACUGUG